rnacentral:rRNA from 1 species
GGAAUAUUGGACAAUGGGCGCAAGCCUGAUCCAGCCAUGCCGCGUGAGUGAUGAAGGCCUUAGGGUUGUAAAGCUCUUUCACCGGUGAAGAUAAUGACGGUAACCGGAGAAGAAGCCCCGGCUAACUUCGUGCCAGCAGCCGCGGUAAUACGAAGGGGGCUAGCGUUGUUCGGAAUUACUGGGCGUAAAGCGCACGUAGGCGGAUAUUUAAGUCAGGGGUGAAAUCCCAGAGCUCAACUCUGGAACUGCCUUUGAUACUGGGUAUCUUGAGUAUGGAAGAGGUAAGUGGAAUUGCGAGUGUAGAGGUGAAAUUCGUAGAUAUUCGCAGGAACACCAGUGGCGAAGGCGGCUUACUGGUCCAUUACUGACGCUGAGGUGCGAAAGCGUGGGGAGCAAACAGGAUUAGAUACCCCGG